AGCUACUUUUGUUCUAAAAAUUAUGUAGGUGGCAUGUGAAGAGCCUUGUUUUCUAAGAAGUCUGUUCUGUGGACCAAUUUCGAAUAAUUUGUGGUACUUUUUCUAGUUUUGGAAGGAAAACGUCCCUCUACAUAGAACUGCUGGCAUGGAUGGCCCUUUGAUUUUGGCAUGAGCGAUCGUGCAGCAUGUUUGAAGAGAACCUGUUCUCUCAUAUUUCCUUAACUAAAGAUGGCCUCUUUAGCAAGUUAGAGCUUUUUCAGUCUUAAGCAGUGCCUUUUUGCCCGCUUAGUUGAUGACUGAAAGGAAGAGAGAAUUUGAUCACUGAAUUUUCUGACCUGUCAUUGUGGAGCCGACCAAGUAGUGUUGCAACAAGGCUGAAAAUCGGAUUAGCUGCAUUUAGAAGAGAAACUUAAACCACUCCAGGUAAAAUAACCUUGUAAAGAAAAAAGUAAGAGUAUUUCAGAGGCCUUGGCUAGGUUCAUGAUGAUACAGGACCUUGUCUGAACAAAGUGAUUUCAAAAUUUGAGCUUAAAAUGACACCCUGAAAUCCAGUCAAUGUGCCUCAUUACUUUUCAGAGAACAUUAUUCUUGAGAGAAUGUUGGCUUGACAUGUGAAAACUUUGAAUACUUAGAAAUGGCAGGUGUAGUAGUACACUUUGCCAGUUACUCAGUUACCCUUUUUUAUUUUCAUAGAUAUUCUGGGAUAAUUCCUUUUUUUUUUUUUUUUUUUACUGUAUAUAUGUGCAUGCUGAUGAAAGCAAAAAAGAAAGCACAUCCUUGGAUCUGAGAAGGCACGCGUGUGGUGAGAUGGAAGGAAGGACACGCAAAAAGGAAAUUUAGCACCUCUUGGAUCAAACCUUGAAUGCCACAGUGCUAGGUGUUUAACUGAUGUCCAGGAAGGAGAGAAACUAAUAUUAUGAUGAAAUACAAUGAAUGUGCCUCAGAUUCUCUAAUUCAUCUAUCUGCCAAAGCAGUCUUUUGGAAAGAUGACCACCACAUCAUGUUUCUUCAUCAGUCUGCAGUUGACAUGUUUCAGGAGUAUUAGAAAUAAGCAAUAAUCAGAGGACAAGGAUUAUAUAAACUGAUAAUAUUUACAGCCUCUUUUGCCACUGUCAAAACUGGAAAUUUUCCACUUUUAGUCACUGAACUUUUGGAUUCUUAAAUUUUGAGACAUUCUUUCACACUUAGCCUCUGCAUAAGAAUCUUUAGAAGUUUGUACAGCAGGAAGCAACGUGACUGCAACCCAGGAAGAUUUAGAGUAGAUUUGCAAAUCUUUUUUCCAUUAACAUAGGUAAGUAAGCAGGAGAGACUAGCCUGAGUGACUGCUCCUGCAUUCAUAAAACUGUAGUUUUCAAAUUCUUCUGGAGUAUUCUGAGCAAUUUUACUUACAGACUGCUAUCGAAGUUUAAACCUCAUGCUGAUUUAAGGGGUCUUUGGUCAGGGCACCUGUGUAGAGCCACUCUCUUGAUCCUCGACUCUGCUCAUUUGCCUGGUCCAACAGCAUCAGGACAGCAUCUCAUUCCGCAUUCCUCCCAAAAAUGGAAGUGUGUGAGGGGGUAUUUACUGAAUUGAAAAUUAUUUCAAGUGGAUAAAAUGAGAGUAGUAUUGGGCUAGUCUGGACAAUGUCAAGUACACACAAGCCAACCUUGCAGGAAUAUGUGGAUAGAAAGGGAAGAACAGCACAUCUUGAAUUCAGCUAGAAACUUCACCAGCUACAUCAUCACAGACAAAAUAAAAAUAGAUUUAUACUCUUCUGAACUUCAUCUUGCCUUUCAAAUGUUUACAUUUGGAUUUGAGGGGGGAAAAACUGUGUCUUGCUUGCUAUGGAGUAUCAACUUGCCUUCAAAAGAUUUACCAGUAAAAGCCUUGCAUAUGUGACAUUUGUAUGUGUAUGUGAUAAACAGAUCUUAGUGUGGGCCUCUCCCCCCCGACACCCCUGCUGGAGCUAGCAUUUUAAAACAGCUUGGAAUCUGAUCCUAUUAACUACUGGACAUAUAUAGCAUAAGAAUUUAUUGAAAUACUUCGGAAAAUUGUGUUUGGGUAAUAUUAUUGAAAUGGAAAUAUAACAUACUAAGUGAAUGAUAAAUAUAUAUGAACUGUAUAUUGCAUAUUAGGAAAUGAAGAGAAUGAAAAUUUCAACAUGGGAUAGUUUUAUUGUAUUCUCUUUUAGCUUAGUUUUUCUUGGACCCUAAUACUGAAGCAUAGAGACUUACAUUUAUAAACAUGAAUCUACUAUUUUUAGAUACUUUUUAAAUCGUUGCUGUGAUAAUAGAGCUGGUUUCCCAGGGAAGUUUCUAAAAAUGUGUUUGGUAAAAUCGUAUCUCAAAAAGAUUUUUGGAAGGAAUUCUGUGGACAUUUUGUAAAGCUAUACAUAAUUCUCUAUUCAUUGUUUGAGCGCUUAUGGAUAGGAGAAAAGAAAUGGGCAUGGUGAGUGUCUAAUACGUUAAUCAGGAAAAAAGUUAAGGCACUAGUUAUUCAUGUGCAUUUUGAGAAUGCUUUGUAUGAAAUAACUGAAUAUAAGUGCUUUGUGACAUUUCUUAGAGUAUUGUGAUUGCUAACAAAGAGUUUGCUAAAAUACAUAGAAAUAUUUUAAUAGAUGAUUAUAGAAAUAGAAUAAUUAGAAUACCUCUGAAUGAUGUGUAUUUAUAAUCAUUUGAUCGGAUUAUUGCUGUGGGUUUUCUGCGGGGAGUAGGAUUGUUCUGCAUACAACUGUCUGUAAGAAAUUUUGUUAAGGCUGCUUUAUGUGGAUGUAGAUGUUAUUCUGUAAAUGGUCUUUAUAUGUUAGAAUUUGUAUGGCAUUAGAUUUUAUUCUCAAAAUGAGAUUGUUGCACAAGAGGCCAUCCUCAGUGAACACUUUGCCUGUUCAGGGUUGAGUGGGCUUUUUAUUGCUCUGUAUACACAUGAAAAAAGUACUGUUAUAUCAUCUUAUCAAGCAUAGAAGUGGCUGACAUUUUGGUCAUUUCAGUUGUUAAAAUAUAAUUUUGUUGCUUGCUGAGAGGUGUUUCUAGACUGCUUUGUAAAAGAGCUGAAUUCAGGAGAUAGAGAAUAAGACGUUUUGGAGGGCUGUGUAUGUAUAUAUGCAUGCAUAUAUACAAGGAGAGUUCUUGAACAGCCUCCAGGCGUUACUCCAUGCUCAGAUGUUGGUAAUCUACAUAUGUUUUGUAAAAUAUUCUAAUGUUAAAGAGAGGUAGACUUUUCCCCUUCCACCACUGCAAUUGUUUAAAUUGCCUCUGAACAUUAAUUCAUUUCUGGUAGAUAUUGUUAUACAUUUUGUUAUAAACUGUUAUUAAUGUUAGAUAUUUUUGUUUAACAUCUAGUUUUCUACAUGUAUAGACAUCAUUGUAAAUUCAUUUGAACUUAUAAGGGUAGAACCAUUUUUGUUUGCCAAAAGAGAUGGUUAGAUCUAACCUCUGUGUUCAUUGAAUCAGUAGGUUCUAUUUUUAGGUUGUGGUAAAUAUAAUGUGUAGUAUCUCAUCUAACAUGUCAUUGUUUUAUGACAAGAUUCAUCAUGGUGGAAAUGUCCUUGUAACUGGUGGUCUGCCUUUGCUUAUUGGUUUUAGAAACGUUUGCAUACAAAUAACACAGUCCUUUGUAUAACAUAGAGAAACCUCUACUUGUGGUAAAAUAGCAUAGGUUACAAAAGUUUUCAGUUGCCGGUGAAAUUUAACUUUUAAUAAUAGUGAAUUGUUAUUUUAAAGUACUUAGUUGAUUAAGCAAUUUAUAAGAUUUUAUGGGAAAUGUUAGCAAUGGCGUAUCAAAUCUGAGUUCAUUAAAUCAUGAGCUGAUCAAAAGAAUGUUUAUGUAUUAUGUGUAUAUAAUGGACAUAGUUAUUUUUUAAAGGAUAAGAAUACUAUAUCUGCAUGUUUCAUAAGUAUAUUAAUUGUAGAAUGAAAACUUACCCAAAUGGUUGUCACAUUGUCUCUAUGAGUAAAUAAUUGGGCAGCUGAAGGGGUUUUUGUUAGAUAGUUGUGUGUAAAAAGUUAGAAUAUGUAAUAGUUUUGCUUUAAACUUUCAGUUCUUGAUUUAUAGGGAUUGCUUACUUAUACAUAUGGGGGUGUGUGUAUGUGUGUAUAUAUAUACACAUGCAUGCACAUAUGUACAUAUAUGUGUAUGAAACAAGUGUUUCUUAAAAUUCAGAAAAUAGAAACAUCAUUUUUUGGCCAAAUAAUUGUCAUUCGGGCUUUAGUCUAUGUUCUUUGGGUUGUUUGAGGGUAGAUGAUAUAGGAAGUUUUAGUUUUUGAACUUUAUUUAGUACCUGGAGGAUACUGUGAGGCUGCUAGAUAUAUGGUAGACAAAUGUUAGUCUUUGUUUUAUAACAUCUGCAUAGGAUUUGCUAAUAGGCAUACAUUUUUGAAGAUCAAACCGAUAUAGACAAAGGUGAAAACACUUUAUUUUGGUAAAUUGAAUUCCUAUACUGAGUCCAUUUGGGAUGUAUUUGGUUGAUGGGGAUUAUAUUUUUACUUUGAUUCAUGUAUCGAAGAUAAAUGUCAUUUUAUAAAACAUUUUUGAAUAUGUAACUUCUGUCAAUUUUGAAAAUAUGUUUUUAUUGAAAUGUUAAAGGUAGAAUUACUGUUUGAACAUAGGUGCAGUAGAAUGAGCAUAUUCAUGAGUUUGGCUUGAUUUUAAGGGUUUUUGUUUAUUUUUGUGUUUUGAGUUUUUUAAUUAGAUCUUUUUUGUUAGUCUAUGUCAUUGCCAUUCAUAUUUUUAAAUAUGUAACUUGUAUGAUUUUUCUUAUCUAAUUUUUUGAUUGAUAAAUGUUGGGACAGAGCAGGGAAGCAUUUGACUGCUGUAUAUAUGAUAGACAAGCUUCUUGUAUAACAUCUUAACUUCCUAGGCAUGUAGAAACAUCCUCUUCAUAUGCAGGCACAUGCACACACACAUGAACACACACACACACUCUAAAUAUAUUCAUGUUGAACUAUAGUUAUCUUUAAAACACCUAUUCUUUCUAGAAAUGUAGACAUUGCUGAUAGAAUAUACUUUUAAAUAUCAGGAACUUUUUUAUCAGUAUAGUAAUUAGCUUUUUUUGCAUGUUCAGUGGUUUGUGGUGACGGAUAUGGACAAGGGUGUUGGAUGUUUUCUGAUCUCAUGUCUGUAGUAUAUGAUGCUUUAGCUUUAUUCUUUUUGCUUUAUAGAGAUUGUGGACAUCGUAUGUUUCAGUCAUGCGGUUUUAAACUGUAUGGUUGAAACGCUUAACUUUUGCAAAUGUUUUUAGAAACUAUAUGGCUUGGUCUUUUUUUUUUUAAAUAACUGAGUUUAUAAUAGUUGCUUUAUAACGUUUUGAGUGUGAAUGUAUAGAACUGUUGAUAAACGGAAUGAUAGAGGUUAGAACCAGUUUCUUUUGAUGAUAUUUUUAGUUCACCCUUAUGGAGUCUUCAUUGGACUGCUGGGAUCCUUAAAGACAAAUUACCAUAAUUGAGUUAAAACUCUCUGAGCUAUAUUCUUGUUCCUUAUGUAUAUAUUAUCAUGUUAGGGAGAAGAUCGUGACAUUUAAAAGUUCUUUUACAUCAUAUUUUCAUUUAAAAGAAAAAUUAGAUUAUAAACAUUAAAUUGUUUCCAUUUUAUAUAAAAAUAUCUGUCAGUUUCAGGAACAUGUAGGUAUAUCUUAUUUUCCAGGUGUACUGAAGUUAAUUAUGCAAUUCAGUUUUCUAAAGAACAUUUUAUAAAAUCUCUGAGUUAUGUACUUCUUUGUUUAUCUGUUACAUGGCAAUAACCAAGAUAAUUUUGUAAAUAAUGGCAAGUAAGAUAGUUAAUUUUAAAUAUCUAGUAUUUCUACAUGUAUUGAGAGUCUCACAAAGUAUAAUUUUGUAAAUAUUCAUUGUAAAUUUGUUCUCUUGUCUUCUAAAAUUAACGUGGCAAUGAAACUGAUUGUUGAUAAACAGACUCUUGGGGUUAUACAAAAUUAAUCGUAUAUUAAUUUGGUCGUUAGAAGGAAUUGACAGGAUUUUGCAUUUACCUCAUUCUCAUAUAGAAGAAUAGUUUCUAUUGUAUCAAAUAUGAAUUGUAUAUUAAACUUAGACAAUGUAAAUUUAUGUGGUAUUUCUGGAUGUAGUGAACUUCCUCACUUAUUUCUUUAAUGUUGCUUAAUUUUUUUAGAACAGUUUUAGGUUCACAGCAAAAUUGAAGGGAAGGUACAGAGAUUUCCCUUAGACCUUUUACCCCAACACAUCUGUAAUCAUCCCCUUUAUCAGCAUUCUCCAACAGAGUAAUACAUUUGUUACAAUUGGUGAACCUACAUUGAUACAUUGCAAUCACUCAAAACUCAUAGUUUAUGUUAUGGUUUACUGUUGGUGUUGUACAUUCUAUGGGUUUGGACAAAUCUGUGAUAACUUGGAUCCAUCACUGCCCCGAAAGUCCUCCGUGCUCUGCCUAUUCAUACCUCCCCAUAUAUUUUUUUUCUUUUGUUUUUAACAUUCAGCAUAUAAAUGACUUUAUCAAGGAGAUUUUCUACUACCUCUUGGAACUAUACACGGUUCUGUAUGUGUUCCCUUGGUUGCAUGACAAUAUUCAAGACAACUUUGUAAAUAAUAGGAUGUAAAUUUUUAAUUUUUAACAUCUAGUUUUUCUAGAUGUAUAGAGUCUCACAAAGUAUAAUUUUGUAAAUAAUUCAUUGUAAAAUAUCAUGGUUUCAUUAUUUUCUUUCCAAUGUCGUAGUGAAAUUGAUAUCUAAGUCAUAAUUUUGUAGUUGUACUGCUUGAUAUUGGGCAUUAUGUACUUUAAACAUAGGAAAUGUUAUAUAAGAAAUUUUGUUUUCCCUCUUUGAAUGAUAGUUUUGUAUUUCAACUGCAUGACAACAUUCAAGACAACUUUGUAAAUAACAGAUGUAUUAUUUUGAAAGAAUGUGGUUUUUCUAGAUGAACGGAGUUUCACAAACAUAAAUCUGUAAAUAUUUCAUUGUAAAAUAUCAUAAAUUGGCUCAGGUAAAUGUUUUGGCUGUGUAAUUAAUAAUCGGCCUCUUAGGGCUGUUUAACAUUUUGGUGUUUGUUCACUGAGUUUUGGGAAGAGAGAUAGACACAUCCCCUCAGAUUGUUAAGCUUUCAUGUAGAAGAAAACAUUAGAUUGUAUACUUAGAACAAACAAAGAAAAAUACCCCUGGAUGUAUUUUUAAUUUUAGGAAGAAAAAGGAAGACAUGAGAAGGAAUCAUCAUUUUAAAUCACAGAUUCACAGGAGAUUCUCACAUUGCUAAAGUAAUUGUCACUUUGCUAUACUAUAUAAAUUUACUCUUUACAAAUUUAUAUAUGUAUAUGCAUAGAUAUAAAGGUAUAUAUACACAUAUACAGGUAAAAUUACUUUUAGGGAUAUAGAUUUGAUAAUACUCUCUUUUGUCAUUUGUUAGCUUAUUGCUUCACAUUUUUUUUUGAAAACAAUGGAGAUAGUAUUUUAAUUCUAAGCUUAAACAUUUCUAGAGGCCCACUUCAUGUUAUAGCUACAUGUAUGUUAAUUUUUAUAUAAAAUGAUUAAGUAGCUCUGUAUCUGUUUCCUAGUCUGCUUCCAUAUAUACACAUAUAUGUGAACAGAAUUCCUCUGAUAAUGAAUAUUUUUAAAAAUUUGAGGACCUUUAAAAUUUUCCAGUGAAUAGUUAUAUUUGAUAUGUGAUAGUCAGAAACAAAUGUCAAAAGUCUUUCAUCUCAGUUGCCUCUAAUAUAAAUUAUGAAAAUUUCUUAGAUUCUAUUCAGUGUUCAUCAAAGUAUAAAUCAGUGUACCUUUUUAAACAGUUUGGCACUGACGAUCAUAAUUGAGUAUGUAAAACUUUUAAAAUGGUAUAACUUGCUCUUGAUUUUAUCUAUUGCAACUCUCAAAGAAGAAAGUAUGUUUUGUAGAUUGAGAUGACAAAUAAUUUGAACAUCUGAAAUCCUCGUCAAUAAAAGGUCGUAGUGAUUACAGCUUAUUGGUCACAUGAAUGUAAUUCAAAUACUGAAAAAAAAAUUCUCGUAUGGAAGGCUGUUUUUAGGUCAUAUUUAAAAUUGUCAUUUUUGAACAAACAUCAAUUAAUUGUGUUUACAAUGGUGUCUAUAUGCCUCUAGUUUUUCAAACUGAAGUGUUAAUGGUUACUAUUCCUGGGGAAUGGGAUUAUCCUGGCAUGAUUAUCGUGUUAAGUAAUGCUUACUGGUCAGUGUUAUUUUAAUGGUGAUUAUUUUACCAUUUUUUGAAAUUUUUGUACAUGUAUAAUUUAAAUAGUAAAACAUUGUUUAUGUAUUUGUAUGUUGCUACAUGACAAUCUAAAAUGAAUAUAUGAAUUAUUAAAUAAAAAUAUAUCUGGAAGGACGUAUGAAAAAGUUUUAACAUAACUGUAUAGAGAUAGAGGAAUAGAAGGACUGCUUCUACUUUCUGCAUUUGAAAUUUUAAAGCUAUUUCAAAAGGAACAUUUAAACAGAGGGAAUUUUAAAGAUACAAGCAGUUUGUGCCUGUCUUCGUCCUUGCCUCUCGACAUCUUGGGAUUUGGGGCUGUUGUAUCCAACUUUGUAUUCUCAGUGGCCAUUAUGAGUGGUUUUUGAGUGGUCAUGAAGAGCAUGUGAUUUAGAGACUUGUGCAGCAGAGAGUUUUACAGAGUGAACAGAGUGUAUUGGAUCACCCAAGGAAAGAAGGGAGAAGAUGGGAUUUGAGGUAGGUACUAAACAAUUCUAUUUGGGUUGACAAAAAAGAUGAGGGAUGAAAAUAGUCCUUGAAAUUUUCUUUAAAGGGUAAAUUUGCAUAAGGCAAUGCCAUAUUUAUGGUUACUAACUAUAUCAAGUUGUUGGAGGAAGAGGUUCUUGGGAUGAGGUAGUUAAUGGAAGAAAUUGGGGAAUAGAUUAAAGUAGGUCUUAAAUUUUUUAGAUUGUUCAGAAUUAGCAUGGACAAUGUUUCAAUAUUCUCUACAUUUGUGCUGAAGAUGGUUUGAAAAGAUGAGAAAGUAAAAAGGUUCUCUCUGGGCAGUCAUAUUUGCUGGGUGUUUAAUUAUCUCCAUUUACUGUUCCUGACCAUUCUAAAGCCAUCUUAAUUUGUACGUCCUGGUUUAUCAUUUGUAUCUAACCUUGGCUAUAUUGCAUUUGUAUACUUACUUUGCAGUUGGAUAUGGUGGAAGAAAAACAUUUGCAGAUAAUCUGAGUACAGCUGUGACAUCAUCAGGAACAUUCCUCUUUUAUGGAGUUCCUUAAUUCAUAAGUCUUAACCGUGAAUCAAAGGAGAUGAUAAUUCCGAGAAAAGAUACUUUACCAAGUUCAUUUUUAAUCCCAAGAAUCGGUGCCACUGGAUCUCUAUUGCAAUAUUCCUCAUUCAGGUGUUCGUCACUGCCAUCUCUGGUCCUAGGAGUACCCCUUGGCGAUAUGAUUCAUCUUUCAUAAGCAAGGACCAAAGGGAUUUUGACUGCAGGUGGUGACCGUGUGAAGAGGAUCAGAUACCUUCUCCAGUGGUUCCAACCACAGCAUCACCCAAAUGCUGUCAUUAUUUCCCCCUUUUGGGAGCUUUUUGCACCUUUGUAUUUCAAAGGGCACAGCUGUUAUAUAUGUGUCCCCAGGAAUAGAAGUGACCUGCUUGUGGCAAGUAGUUGCCUGGAAUGUUGUUAAGUACUUCUCUGUGCUGUGAAUAUAUCUUGUGCUUACCUUUAUUGUUGUAUUUACCUCAUUGCAUUUUUUGUCUCUGUUUUACUUUACAAAUGGGAGAUUUGUGUGUGGUAAAUGUAAUGAAAACAACCUCAUGGACACCUUGGUCACACGGCAGAUAACAGCCAGGCUUUCUCAUAAUCCGAGUGCCUCACAUGUACCACUUCUGGUACCGUUUGUGAGAUAUUUGGUUCCUCAUUUGAAUCAUGAGCCCACAGUUUUUAGAGAGGUCCCAAACAAGAACGUCUUAAGACAUCCCAUUGCCUGCAGUAGGCCAUCUAUAGUUUUGCUUUUUAUUAGUAGAUCUCACUCUAGAACAGGAUCUGAGUCUGGCUGCAGUGGAUCUCUUCCCCAAUGCCUGAACUCAAGACUUGGAUGCCAUCACAACUCUGGUUGUAUAAAGGAGAGCCAGACCUUUGCAGUGACAUUUUGAGUCAUGGUGAUGCCAUCUUGUAGAACACAUGAUUCCAUUAUUUUCCUGGUAUUACUGUAAUUUUGUUCUUUGGGACUAGAGUAAAAAACACAGGGUACCAAAGAGAUUUCACUUUUAUCCACAUUACCCUGAUUUUUAUUUAUUUUCUGUUUAACCUAAGUGGGCUUAGUAUAGACAGUUGUGUUUAUUGGAAGUUUUAAUUGUCUACGUCUGGAACAUAAACUGCACUGUCAUCAGGGAACUACUAACUGCAUUGCCCAAUCUUUCUCAAUAGACAGGCUUGACACCUAGUACAUUGAAACAGGGCUGAGAAGAAUGAGUGAGUUAUUAAACAAUUUAAAGUGAACUGUAGUCAUUCUCCUCCAUCUUCCACUCCUAUUCCCCAAGGAUGACAAAUUAACUAUUUGUGGUAUAGCUGUCAAUAAGUUUUCUAAGCUUAUAUAAAUUUAUGUGGAAUUUAUUUUACAAAUAUACCAUCAUUAUGGUAUAUGUUGUCUUCCAACUUUAGCUUUUUAAUGCAUUAUGGAUAUGUUUCCAAACCAAUAAAUAUAUCUUAUCAACAGACUUUUCAUUGGAAAUAAAGCACAUAUUGUAAUGGGUUUAUUCAUUUCUCAAUUUUGGGAAAUACAAGUUAAAUGUUUGUUUUUGCCACUGCAUAUAAUGUUGUAAUGUAUAUAACUAUAUAUUUAUUUUAAUGUACUUGGGCUCCUAAUCCUAUAAGAUAGAUUUCUAGAUGUGGCAUGGUUACAUCAUCAGUUCUGCAUACUUUUGAUUUCAGUAGAUAGUGAUAAAUUGCUCUUGAAAUGUUUUCCAGGCCAGUACACAGCUGUGGUGGAAUGGCAGUGCUAAUUUUCAUAAAAAAGGUUUACAUCAUGGGUAUCAUCAAUCUUUUAAACUUAUAGCCAAUCUAAUAGGUGAAAAUAGUAAUUUUAACCUAAGUUUAAUUUAAACAGUAAAUGGCCAUGGAUAAAAAAGACCAAAUAGUGAUGGAUUAUUUAUUUUAAAAAAAGCAAUAUUUCACAUUCCUUCUAAUCACAAAUCAUCCCAGUUGUCAAAGGUUGAAACCAUUGACCUUUGCUAAGUGUAGUGCUUUUUGGAGGUUCAUAAACUUCGUAAGUAUACCAUAUACCACUGUACAUUUUUUGACUAUUUUUAAAAUAAAAUUUUAGAUUUAAAGUUUCGAGAAUCGUAUAAAGGACUCCAUAUACUCUUCACCCAGGUUUUUCCCCUACAUUGUUGUGUUCUUUUUUCUUACUUUCCCUACUUUCCUCAUUCAUCGUUCCCACCCUCUUUCUUUCUUUCUCUCCCUCCCCAUAUUGUUCUUAUUUUAUGAAUUAUUUGUCACUUACACAUGUUAUGUCUCUUUAACCUAAAAUACUUCACCAUUCACUUUCUAAGAGCCUGGGCAUCAUCUUAUAUUAACCUUGGUACAGUUUUCAAAAUCAUGAAAUUUAUCAACAGUACAAACAUUAAUAUAUAGCCCAUAGAUUUCACCAGUUGCUUUAGUAAUGUUCUUUACAUCUAUUUCUGCUCUUAUUCAGGCCCCAGAAAAGGAUCCUGUAUUGCAUUUAAGUGUCAUAUUUCUGUAGACUCAUUUAAUCUGUAACAGUUUCUCAUUCAUUCUUAGUCUUUGAUGACACUAGUAUUCUUGAGAAGUAAUGGCUAAUAGUUUUUAAAGAGAUCCCUCAAAUUUUUAAUUUUUUGAUGUUUCCUCGUGAAUAGGUUUAGGUUAUGUAUUUUUGGCAGGAAUACUUCAUAAUUGUCUGUUGAAUUCAGUGAUUCACAUCAGGUGGCAAAUGAUGUCACUUUGACCUGUUAUUGGUGACAUUAACUUUAAUCACUUGGUUCAAUUAGUAUCCACUAAGUUUUUCCACUUCAAAGUUAACAUUCCUUUCUAAUUAAUAAAUAUUCUUUAGGGAUAUCAUUUAAAAAAUAUAUAAAUAUCCUAUUUGUCCAUCAACCUUAUUUAUGCCAUAGUUUUAGCAGUUUCAGGUGAUUUUUAGCAGAAUCAAUGGUGACUUCAAAAUCUUUGUUAUUGGUUAUGUAUAUUAGUUGGUAUUCUGCUCUAAGGGAGUUAGUGUAUCAUGGCUUGUGAGACACGUUCAACAAAGUAUUUUCUGACUUAAAGUACUGAAGGAAAAGUGAGAUGGUAAUGCACAGAAUAAAGCAGGGAGAGGCUUAUCUAAUGACUUUAGUGAAUUUUAUGUCUAAAGUAUGCAGCUGAAUGUGAGUGGCACAUAGACAUCUUUAGAGGUGUUUGAUGAAAUAGAUUUGCAUGGCAGAAGGAGAAAAGUCAUGCUUUUAGUAAUAAGUCUUAGCUAGGGAAUGUGUCAAUGCCAUCUUUAUUGGCAAGUUGUUCAACAAUAUUCUUCAACUGACUGUGAGGCAUUAUGGUGGAAUCCAGGUUCAUAUUGACUCUAGAUUGAUAAUCUAUGUAGAUGGUAAAUUACUAAUAUUCCUCCCUAUUUUUUUUGUUGUUGCUUUGUUAAAUAUCCAUAACCCUUUAGAGUAUCUGAUAUUGAUGAUGAAGGAACUGUAUUUGAGAUGUGAUGUAAAGAUGAACACUCAGCUUUCUGAAUUUUUAUUUGUUUCACCUGUCACUGUUCCUUCCAACCUUGUGUGGUGAUGUCUGUGUUGAUAAUACAGACUGCUGCAGUGGUUAUGUUGGCUAAAGCCUAUAUAUCCCUAAAUUCUGUUGUUUGUUUUCUGUAAUCAGGGAAUUGUAAGUAAUGUAAUCAUAAUUCCAAAUUUUGUGCCAGUUAAAUAAGAUUUCCAGAAUAAAGAUAUUCUAAGUUUUGAAAAGUGUCUGGGUUGAAUUGGUGAAAUGUUCUUAAUCAUCCUGAAUAUGAUGAGUUUCAAAAUCUGGCUCAGUGUUGCUGAGAUGCAGUCAACCUGAUAUGAGUAGAAAUGGCAUACCAGUUUAUAAAUUGUAAACCAAUGCCAUGUAUUUGUGGAGGCAUGGACAUGACCUAAAGAUUUGGCUUAAAAUGGUGAUCUGAAUAUUCCCUGCUCCCUGAAUCCAACUUUGUAUUUAGUCUUUAAUGACAGGCUUGUAGCAGUGGUUCAGUAAAUAUUGUCAUUAAAUGCAUGACAAUAAAAUGGAAGUGAGACCAAAAUUACUAACUGUAAACAAAUGACAUAGCGACUCUUUGUGUCGUGCAAAUAAACAGGCAAAUUACCAGUGGAAAAACUUGUCAUCUAAAGAAGGUGAAACAAUUGAAG
rnacentral:lncRNA from 1 species